GGCCUGACACUAGUACGAGAGGACCGUGUUGGACGAACCGCUGGUUUAUCGGUUAUGCCGCCAGGCGUAUUGCCGAGUAGCUACGUUCGGUUGAGAUAAGUGCUGAAAGCAUCUAAGUACGAAGCUUGCCUCAAGAUUAGAUCUCAUUAUAAGGGUGGUUAUAGACGAUGACCUUGAUAGGCUACAGGUGUAAAGGCGGUGACGUCAUAGCCGAGUAGUACUAAUUGCCCGAAAGUUUUUGCCUG
rnacentral:rRNA from 1 species